rnacentral:misc_RNA from 1 species
UCUCCGUUGGUGAACCAGCGGAGGGAUCAUUACCGAGUUCUUCUACUCCCAAACCCCUGUGAACUUAUACCUUUACUGUUGCUUCGGCGGGUUAACGCCCCGGAAGGCCCAAAAAGCCGCCGGAACCAGGCGCCCGCCGGGGGACCCAAACUCUUGUAUUUCUUACUUUGCAUGUCUGAGUGGAAUCAUAAACAAAUGAAUCAAAACUUUCAACAACGGAUCUCUUGGUUCUG